rnacentral:rRNA from 1 species
AUGUCCCGUUAUCGAGGACCUCGUUUAAAAAAAAUACGCCAUCUAGGAGCUUUACCAGGACUCACUAGAAAAACACCUAAAUCCGGAAGUAAUCUUAAAAAAAUCAAUUCUGGGAAAAAGGAGCAAUAUCGUAUUCGUCUUCAAGAAAAACAGAAAUUGCAUUUUCAUUAUGGUCUGACAGAACGACAAUUACUUAGAUAUGUACAUAUCGCUGGAAAAGCAAAAAGGUCAUCAGGCCAGGUUUUACUACAAUUACUUGAAAUGCGUUUGGAUAAUAUCCUUUUUCGAUUGGGUAUGGCUUCAACCAUUCCUGGGGCCCGCCAAUUAGUCAACCAUAGACAUAUUUUAGUUAAUGGUUCUAUAGUCAAUAUACCAAGUUUUCGUUGCAAACCCAGAGAUAUUAUUACUAUGAAAGAUAACCAAAGAUCAAAAGGUCUGGUUCAAAAUUAUAUUGCUUCAUCGGACCCGGGGAAAUUACCAAAGCAUUUGGCGAUUGACACGUUGGAAUAUAAAGGACUAGUAAAUAAAAUCCUAGAUAGGAAGUGGGUCGGUCUCAAAAUAAAUGAGUUGUUAGUUGUAGAAUAUUACUCUCGUCGGACUUGA